rnacentral:rRNA from 1 species
GUAGGGAAUAUUGCGCAAUGGAGGAAACUCUGACGCAGCGACGCCGCGUGGGUGACGAAGGUCUUCGGAUCGUAAAGCCCUGUCGGAAGGGACGAAAAACGGUAUGGCUAAUAUCCAUACCGCUUGACGGUACCUUUAAAGGAAGCACCGGCUAACUACGUGCCAGCAGCCGCGGUAAUACGUAGGGUGCAAGCGUUGUUCGGAAUCAUUGGGCGUAAAGCGCGUGUAGGCGGUUAGUUAAGUCAGGUGUGAAAUCCCUCGGCUCAACCGAGGAAGUGCAUUUGAAACUAGCUAGCUCGAAGAUGGUAGAGGAAGGUGGAAUUCCAAGUGUAGAGGUGAAAUUCGUAGAUAUUUGGAGGAAUACCUGUGGCGAAGGCGGCCUUCUGGGCCAUUCUUGACGCUGAGACGCGAAAGCGUGGGUAGCAAACAGGAUUAGAUACCCGUGUAGUCC